UCCCGGUCUCUCUUCCAUUCUCCUCCCUCCUGCCGUCAGUGCCUUCCAUCUCUGCGUCAUCUCAUUUUCCUAUGUUAAGGGCAUUGUGAAACCCGGUGACUGCUGUGCACCUUCCAUCGUUCUUCGUUCUAGUGAUUUUGCUGGGAAGCUGCUGGGGAGUGAAGCAGCACAGAGCUGACCUUACAAAGCCUCCGCCCGACGAGACCGCACCUCCGUCCCAGAGUCCAUGGAAGCCAAGGCCAAGUCGGCUCCCUUGCCCAAAGGGCUAUCAAAAGCAGAGAAAAAGGAGCCAGCAGCCCCACGUAAAGCUGAAGCUGCCCCUACAACGCCAGAGCCAGAGAUUCCUCCUGCCCAGGAUGGGGCAGCAGAAGGCGACGUAGGUGACGGGGCCGCGGCCGGCUGCACAGACUCUCUGGAGCGCCUGAAACCUUUCCUCAUUGGUGGGGCUGUUAUCGCAGUUGGAGCCAUUUUGCUGGGGGCGAUGCUACUCGCAAGGAGAAAUUAAACUCACAAUCUCAAAAAUUUGCUCCAUGUAAGAUUGGUUCACAAAUAAUUACGGUUGAUAUUGAAAAUGGGGAGUUUUUUUUUUUUGGUAAGCAAACUUAAACAACUCAAAAUAAGUUUUAUUACAAACAGUAUAUGCAUGAUAUUUGAAUUUACAAUCUGUUGAAACGACACAGAGCGUAUAAGAAAAAACUCUCUAGGGUAGCUUUCAUAUCUGCUUUAUAUUAUUUGCUCAAAUGUUGACACAAACCCACAAUAUUUACAUUGUAAAUGACCUAUGUUCAAUUUACAAAGAGCUCCAGAAAAUUUUACUCCUGGACUGAAAAAUAAUAUAAUUUAACUAUCACAGAUUCUAGGAUUUAUUUGACUUUUUUUUUUGUAAUCAAAGAGCAGACAUGGAAAAAUGUAAUGUUAAAUGAUCAUUAGACCAAAUACUAAAGGAUUCAACAUGCUGCGGUUUACAAAUGGCCUGUGCGGGAAUAUUUGCGUUACUGCGCGAAAACGGCAACCUAGUAUUGCAGAGUUAUUUCUUGAUGUAGAAUAAGACAGAUUUAUUAUUAUUGUUAUUUUUAUUUUUUUUGUGUUAUUGUCAAAUGAUGUCACAAAUCAAUAGCCUUUCAUGUAUAACACAACAUCUGCAAAGGUUCUGCAUCAAUAUGUUCACUGUUACCGUAAAUACUUUGUUGUAGACUGGCAGACCAGUCAUUAGUGGUUCGGUAUCAAGUUCAGUAGCUGCAGUUGAAUCGGGCUUUAUUCCGCUGUGCUUUGCUCCCUCUGUAUUCCAUCAAGAACAACUCUUUGUUUUCAAUACCUUAUUAAUAACUAAGUAUAGAUAGGCCCAUUUAGAGUGCUAAUGUAAUGGAAGUGGAUUAGUCAAGCAGUCAUUAUUUUAUGUCUGCACACAUUGCACCCUCGCAUGUAAAAAAAACACAAAAAAACCAAACAACACCACCACUUUGCAAGUGAAUAUGUUUGCAACAUAUUUGUCAUCAUAAAUGCUGUAUGUGUGUACAUUGAUGCAUUCUACACCCCUAACACAUCCAAACAACACAAUGCCAAAACUAGAAGUAACUUCACCCGACAUUGUACAAAUUAGUGUACCAAAAAAAAAAAAUUAAAAAGUAUUCUUUUAAUAACUCAAUAACAGCAGCGUAUAAAUGCAAUAAUUCAGAUAGGAUUCCUCAGUUAGCACCUUAUGUUGUGCUGUAGCAAGUUAUUUCACAUAAAUAAUGGUGUAAUAAUAACACUAGUGACGGUCAAAUGUGAUGUUUAAUAAAAUGAAAAUGAUGUUAGAGGAGAUAGAAAGUAUGCAUUUAUGGUGACUAUAAUUAUAAUGAUGGUUAUGAUAUAUUUUUUAUAUAUAACAAAGUAUUGGGUACUCUCCCCCCAGUGUAUACACAGAAUGUGGUUGUGAUGCGACCUUUAUUAAAGGCAGUGAACCAACUCCAAA